rnacentral:lncRNA from 1 species
UGUUAUCUGUAAUUUAAUGUGCUUUAAUUUUUUUCUCACUUGUAUAGUAAAUUUUUGUAAUUUAGUGUUUAGAAUGAUUUGCAUUGUUAUAUAUUUGAUCAGUCACUCAUACUGGAUAAACAAACAUAGAAAGGUAGAAAUGCUCAGUAUUAGUAGAAUUUCCCCUAAUUAUUCUGAAAUAUCCAUUCAUGCCGAAUAUGAAAGGAAGCCAUUGUGCAUGCAUUUAUUCAUAUAAUCAUAUAAAUUAUAAUUCAAAUUUGUGUAUAGAAUAUUCUAUUAUUAUUAGUUAUUGAGGAACUAUGUUUUAUCAAACUCAGCCAAAUACACAGUACACUAAGUUUAAUUUUAGAAACUAUUACAAUACAGAGGAUAUUGAGAAAUAUUAAUAGUAAUCAUUAAUCAUUCUUUACCUUUACACUUGUUACAUAUAUUACAGUGCACAAUAGUGUCCAAAAAAUAUUAGUCCGACUCAUAAUGUUCUGUUGCUACCAUAAACCAAUGUGAUUAUAGAAGAAUAGAUUGUGAAAUGCAAAAAAGAUCCACUGAAGUAAUAGCUCCAUAACCAAAGAAAAUUAAAAAUGAAUUUGUUUCAAUAUUCAUCUUUGCUAUAGAAAAACAUAAGUGAAAUAUGAUACACAUGAUUAAAUGCUAACUACUGUCAGUAUCUAACAGCAUUGAUCCAGUUAUAAGAUGUUAGAAAGAUAUUUCAUACCAUAUUUAAUUUAAUAAUCCAUACUAAAUACAGC